rnacentral:rRNA from 1 species
GACGAACGCUGGCGGCGUGCUUAACACAUGCAAGUCGAACGGAAAGGCCCUGCUUUUGUGGGGUGCUCGAGUGGCGAACGGGUGAGUAACACGUGAGUAACCUGCCCUUGACUUUGGGAUGACUUCAGGAAACUGGGGCUAAUACCGGAUAGGAGCUCCUGCUGCGUGGUGGGGGUUGGAAAGUUUCGGCGGUUGGGGAUAGACUCGCGGCUUAUCAGCUUGUUGGUGGGGUAGUGGCUUACCAAGGCUUUGACGGGUAGCCGGCCUGAGAGGGUGACCGGCCACAUUGGGACUGAGAUACGGCCCAGACUCCUACGGGAGGCAGCAGUGGGGAAUAUUGCACAAUGGGCGGAAGCCUGAUGCAGCAACGCCGCGUGCGGGAUGACGGCCUUCGGGUUGUAAACCGCUUUCGCCUGUGACGAAGCGUGAGUGACGGUAAUGGGUAAAGAAGCACCGGCUAACUACGUGCCAGCAGCCGCGGUGAUACGUAGGGUGCGAGCGUUGUCCGGAUUUAUUGGGCGUAAAGGGCUCGUAGGUGGUUGAUCGCGUCGGAAGUGUAAUCUUGGGGCUUAACCCUGAGCGUGCUUUCGAUACGGGUUGACUUGAGGAAGGUAGGGGAGAAUGGAAUUCCUGGUGGAGCGGUGGAAUGCGCAGAUAUCAGGAGGAACACCAGUGGCGAAGGCGGUUCUCUGGGCCUUUCCUGACGCUGAGGAGCGAAAGCGUGGGGAGCGAACAGGCUUAGAUACCCUGGUAGUCCACGCUGUAAACGGUGGGUACUAGGUGUGGGGUCCAUUCCACGGGUUCCGUGCCGUAGCUAACGCUUUAAGUACCCCGCCUGGGGAGUACGGCCGCAAGGCUAAAACUCAAAGGAAUUGACGGGGCCCCGCACAAGCGGCGGAGCAUGCGGAUUAAUUCGAUGCAACGCGUAGAACCUUACCUGGGUUUGACAUGGAUCGGGAGUGCUCAGAGAUGGGUGUGCCUCUUUUGGGGUCGGUUCACAGGUGGUGCAUGGCUGUCGUCAGCUCGUGUCGUGAGAUGUUGGGUUAAGUCCCGCAACGAGCGCAACCCUUGUUCACUGUUGCCAGCACGUUAUGGUGGGGACUCAGUGGAGACCGCCGGGGUCAACUCGGAGGAAGGUGGGGAUGACGUCAAGUCAUCAUGCCCCUUAUGUCCAGGGCUUCACGCAUGCUACAAUGGCUGGUACAGAGAGUGGCGAGCCUGUGAGGGUGAGCGAAUCUCGGAAAGCCGGUCUCAGUUCGGAUUGGGGUCUGCAACUCGACCUCAUGAAGUCGGAGUCGCUAGUAAUCGCAGAUCAGCAACGCUGCGGUGAAUACGUUCCCGGG